UCCCCCCAUCUUCAUCUUCAGCUCAUCCCUCCCCCCAAAAUCCACCAUAUCCAGACGAGUCGACGGAUCAGCCACCCAACAGACGCUGAGUGUGACAUCGCCGAAUCUCGAUGUAAAUGCUCUCUCUUGCUGAAUUUGGCCGAAAACUCUCUCUCUUUCUCUCUCUCAACGGAUCUCGUUUCUCUCACCGGAAUGUCUCUCUGUCUUGCUGGAUCUAUCUUGCCGGAGAUACUUUUAAGUGUUUUGUUCUCUAAUUUCUGGAUUAAAAAAAAUGUAAAGCAUAAAAGACUUUUAAGCAUAAAUUUCUCUCAGAUUUCGUCUCUCUGUCAGUAAGAUUGAUGUUUGUCUGCAUAUUUCUCCAAAGAGCUUCAGCCGAUUCGAAAUAUUUGGGCUCCAUUUUCGCAUCAAGAAGAAGAGGGGCUCCCAUUCUAAACCAAGAAGAUGUCCGCUUCCUCCGUUUUAGCAAACGAGCUCCAUAUCGUAAGGUAUCAUUUGUAUAGAGAUGAAGAUAUCUUGGGAACUCUUCAUGUCAAGGGUUGGAUUGUUCUUGUUAAAUGGAGAAAAUAGGCUUUCUUGUCCCUGCAAUUGCAGACUGUUGUGCUGUUUUGCAAUUUUGUUACUUGUACUGAGUUUGACAUUUGUUAAAAAGAUAGUAAUUAUGAACUUGAUGAGGGAUUGCGCUAUUUUGUUUCCAAAUUGUAGGCUGCAACUCUAAUUAUAUGUUAACAUAUUACUUUACCAAAAAAAAAAAAAAAACGCAUAUUACUUUAGAGAUGCUCUGGUAACGAAGCAGAAGAUGCAUAGUUGGGGAUAUACUGGCCCGAGUCUCUGUCCUUUCUGCUAUGGUGCUUUUGAAAGCCGAGAACACCUAUUUUUUAGGUGUAGUUUCAGUUCUCGAAUCUGGCUUCAUUUGAUGACUGCUUGUUCUCUGGUCAAUGUGCCCUUGGAUUGGGAAGAUAUAAUAUGUUGGGGUGCAAAUGUGUUGCAAGGAAAAGGAUUGCGGGCUGCCUUGGGUAGACUAAGCUUGGGGGCCUCGAUUUACCACAUUUGGCGGCAGAGGAAUGAUUUGUUGCAUCACAAUGCUCCAAGGUAUGAGGAAGCUAUGUUGGUGCAGAUUAAAUGGGAAAUUCGUGUUAGAUUGUUGGCCAAAGGCAACUACAAGUGGAAGAAUGUGGAGCUUGCCGCUCGGUGGAAUUUUUAGUUGUUUUCUUGUUGUGUAGUUGCUGCUCUGUCCUGUAGUAUUUAGCCAUGAGGUUUGUGUUGUUGGUUGGGUUCAGUUGUGUUGGGUUUGCUGUAGCUAGUGUUUGUUUGUUUGUAUAA